rnacentral:misc_RNA from 1 species
GAUGAAGAACGUAGUGAAAUGCGAUAAUUAAUGUGAAUUGCAGAAUUCAGUGAAUCAUCGAGUCUUUGAACGCACAUUGCGCCCCCUGGUAUUCCGGGGGGCAUGCCUGUCCGAGCGUCAUUGCUGCCCUCAAGCACGGCUUGUGUGUUGGGCUUCCGUCCCUGGCAAGGGGGACGGGCCCAAAAGGCAGUGGCGGCACCAUGUCUGGUCCUCGAGCGUAUGGGGCUUUGUCACCCGCUCCCGUAGGUCGAGCUGGCAGCUAGCCUCGCAACCAAUCUUUUUAACCAGGUUGACCUCGGAUCAGGUAGGGAUACCCGCUGAACUUAAGCAUAUCAAUAAGCGGAGGA